GAUCGGGAUGAGCCGGGGAGUCAAGACCCAGCUGAGAGGACUGUGACCCUGGUGGAGAUUUUGGGGCACCUGAAGGCCCCGGGGGAGUCCCUGCGGCUCCUCUGCCGCGCCUCCGGCUUCACCUUCGGCAGCUACGACAUGAACUGGGUGCGCCAGAGCCCCGGGAAGGGGCUGGAAUACGUCGCAAGUAUCGACAGCACUGGUUCCAGCACCAACUACGCGCCGUCGGUGCGGGGCCGGUUCACCAUCACCAGGGACAACGGGCAGAGCUCGGUGACGCUGCAGAUGAACAACCUCAGGGAGGAGGAUUCCGCCACCUAUUUCUGCGCCAAACGUGACACUGCCUCUGGUGCUGGUGCUGUUUCUGCUAUCGACGCCCUUGGUGGGGCCCCCACAUGUCCCCAAACCAGACCAUUGAGGUCAGUGACCAAGAGUUUGGGUCAGUGGUUGAUGUUUGGGGCCAAAGGUUGA